rnacentral:pre_miRNA from 1 species
UCUCAUGGAUGAGCAAAGAAAGUGUUUCUCUUGAGAUUGGAACUACUCCUGGUGAAGAUGCUGAGAA